GAGCCAGAGUGGCAGCUGACACGAGGAGAGAGAGAGUCACGCGCGGAGACGAGCGUGAAAAGUGCAAGAAUCCAGAGGCGGACACACGAGUGGAGAGAAGAAAGAGAGCGCCAGAGAGGAGAAAUAACAUCGACAGGGAAGCGUACAGGUGUGUGUGUGUGACACAGAGAGAGAGAGGGGGGAGUGGAUGAUAGAGAGCGGGAGAGAGAGCGCGCGGGAGGGAGAAAUAUGGCCACGGUCACGGCGGAGAAUGGUUUCGGCACCUCGGACAGCUCCGGCAGAAUGAACGGACUCAACAGCGCGAUCCCGAUGAAAGAUCACGACGCCAUCAAGCUCUUCAUCGGCCAGAUCCCGCGCAACCUCGAGGAGAAAGACCUCAAGCCGCUCUUCGAGGAAUUCGGCAAGAUCUACGAGCUCACCGUGCUCAAAGACCGCUUCACCGGGAUGCAUAAAGGAUGUGCCUUUCUAACAUACUGUGCCCGAGACUCAGCGCUGAAGGCUCAGAACGCUCUCCAUGAACAGAAGACUCUACCCGGGAUGAAUCGGCCGAUCCAGGUGAAACCGGCCGACAGUGAAGGACGAGGAGAAGACCGGAAGCUGUUUGUAGGGAUGCUGGGGAAGCAGCAGGGUGAAGAUGACAUCCGGAGGCUGUUUGAUUCAUUCGGGCACAUAGAGGAGUGCACCGUUCUCCGGGGUCCUGAUGGGGCCAGUAAGGGCUGUGCGUUUGUGAAGUUCUCCAGCCACGCAGAAGCUCAGGCAGCUAUUAACAGUCUUCAUGGUGGACAGACGAUGCCUGGGGCUUCCUCGAGUCUGGUGGUGAAGUUUGCAGACACAGAUAAGGAACGGACCCUCCGUCGGAUGCACCAGAUGGCCGGUCAGAUCGGGAUCUUUAGCCCUAUGACCAUACAGUUUGGAGCUUAUGGAGCAUACACACACACUCAGCUGAUGCAGCAGCAGGCCGCUCUCAUGGCAGCUUCACAGGGUUCGUACCUGAACCCGAUGGCUGCCAUUGCAGCCGCUCAGAUGCAGCAAAUGGCUGCUUUCAAUGUCAACGGUCUGGUGGCUGCGCCGAUGACCCCCUCUUCAGGCACCAGCACACCUCCAGGCCUCAGCGCCACAGGCGUGCCCAGUAUCACAGGUCCCAUCACAGUGAACGGCUUCAGCGCUCUUCCACACCAGACCAACGGACAGACCGCCUCCGAGACCAUCUACACCAAUGGGAUCCAUCCAUACCCAGCUCAGAGUCCGACAGUGACAGAUCCUCUCCAGCAGGCGUAUGCAGGUGUACAACAUUACGCAGCAGCGUAUCCUGCCGCAUAUGCACCCAUUAGCCAAGCGUUUCCCCAGCAACCAGCCAUCAUCACCCAGCAACAGAGAGAAGGACCGGAGGGCUGUAAUCUGUUUAUUUACCACCUGCCGCAGGAGUUCGGCGACGCUGAGCUCAUGCAGAUGUUCCUGCCCUUUGGCAACGUCAUUUCCGCCAAAGUCUUUGUGGACCGGGCCACCAAUCAGAGCAAGUGUUUUGGUUUCGUAAGCUUUGAUAACCCGUCGAGUGCUCAGGCAGCGAUUCAGGCAAUGAACGGUUUUCAGAUCGGCAUGAAGAGGCUGAAGGUUCAACUGAAGAGGCCGAAAGAUGCCAACCGCCCGUACUGAUGCUGAGUGAACGGCUGGCACGCUCCUUACAGUAGUUGGUCAGGACGGCUCAGGUGUUCUAAUGUACCGUCAGGAGAAUCUCGGUCCAUUACUGACGAGGGACGUCAACACCUUAUAUCCACAAGUGCAGUAUCAAAGACUGCUACAUAUCACGAGAGGCGAGCGCUCCAAAUCUCUGAGGGCUGGAAAAGAGGAACACAAAAACAACUUUUUUCUUUCUCCCCCUUUUCUGCUUCGGCAUUUGCAGGAUGAAUUUGGCAGAGAUCGACUUUAUUGCUGCUGUGUUUUUUUUUAUGGAAAAUGAAAAAAGAAACCUUUUUGAACACAUUAUGCUCAGAGCAUGCAGAAACAAACACACAUAAAUAAUUACACACACA